rnacentral:lncRNA from 1 species
GUAAAGCCGCACGCACUCCUUCGCUCGUGGGGGAGGUAGGGUGAGGUGGCAAACCAGGCAGUUUUUCGGAUUUCCUCUACAAACAAGAAGGGAGAAGCUCACUUAGUCCUAGCGAGAGCGGGCUGGUACUUUUGUUCUAAAACGCACGUUUCCUCGGGGAACAGAAUUGCUAGACGCAAUAGUUAUAAUUAUUCAAUAUGUUCCCACUGACUGAGGAAAACAAGCAUGUGGCCCAGUUGUUGCUCAAUACUGGUACUUGUCCAAGAUGUAUCUUCAGAUUCUGUGGUGUGGAUUUUCAUGCACCUUACAAACUUCCAUACAAGAUGAAGAAACUGAGAUACAGAGAGGUUAAGCAACCUGCCCAAAGUUACACAGCUAUUAAGUGAGCAAGCUAGGAUUUGAACAGUCUGACUGAAUUCAAAACCUAGGAUUUGGAACUAGAAGACAUGGAUUUGAAUCCCAGUUCCACCACUUUCCAGCUUCAGUUUACUCCUCUGUAAAUGGGAAUGAUGAUAAUACCCACCUCACAGGACUUUAAGGGACAAUACCUAAUAAAGUACGUGGAAACACUUUGAAAACCAGAAAUUGGCUGGGUGCGGUGGCUCACGCCUGUAAUCCUAGCACUUUGGGAGGCCGAGGCGGGUGGAUCACGAGGUCAGGGGUUCAAGACCAGCCUGGCCAAGAUGAUGAAACCCUGUCUCUACUAAAAAUACAAAUAUUAGCUGGGCGCCAUGGCAGGUGCCUGUGAUCCCAGCUACUUGGGAGGCUGAGGCAGGAGAAUUGCUUGAACCCAGGGGUGGGGGGUGCGGAGGUUGCAGUGAGCCGAGAUCAUGCCACUGCACUCUAGCCUGGGCAACAGUGUGAGACUCCGUCUGAAAAUUAAAAAAACAAAAACAAAAAACCAGAAAUGGUACUUGUGCUAUGAUGAUUUAAAUAUGUGUAUAUUCAUUUAUACACAAUAUGACUGUAAAGUAAUAAGACUGGUUUUGUGUAACCCUGCUUACACAUUUUUUUCAGACACACUGUAACCUAUUAUCUAUUAUAUGUUAUUAGGUUUUAAAUUUAUAUUAUAUUAAGAGACUGAGUGUUAUCAACUUUCGUUUGUUUCAUUUUAUGUAAGGCAAUAUACAAGAAUAUUUGGACAGCUUUUUGGAAAUGUUCAUAAAUUUUGAUCUGUUCUAUUCAUGUAACUAUGUAUGUACAUGCACAUCUGUAUAUGCACUAUGUUAUAUCUAUAUUAUAGAUCUUAGGUAACAACAAACAUAUUUGUGUGAGUCAAAAUGUACCUGUAUAUGUAUGUAUGUAUGUAUAUUUCUCUGUUAAAGCAGGAGAGCUAAUUUCUCAAUAAAAUGGAUUUAAAUUUGUUUGAGUGAAAGAUUUUUUCCCUUUACAGUCAGUAAAUUGUCAUCUGAAUGAA